rnacentral:rRNA from 1 species
CGGCGGACGGGUGAGUAACGCGUGGGUAACCUGCCUCAUACAGGGGGAUAACAGUUAGAAAUGACUGCUAAUACCGCAUAAGACCACAGCACCGCAUGGUGCGGGGGUAAAAACUCCGGUGGUAUGAGAUGGACCCGCGUCUGAUUAGCUAGUUGGUGAGGUAACGGCCCACCAAGGCAACGAUCAGUAGCCGACCUGAGAGGGUGACCGGCCACAUUGGGACUGAGACACGGCCCAA